rnacentral:rRNA from 1 species
UACGUAGGGUGCAAGCGUUAAUCGGAAUUACUGGGCGUAAAGCGCGUUCAGGCGGUUUGGCAAGUCGGGCAUGAAAUCUCUCGGCUCAACCGGGAGAGGUUGUCCGAUACUUCCAGACUUGAGGGCAGUAGAGGGUGGUGGAAUUCCGGGUGUAGUGGUGAAAUGCGUAGAUAUCCGGAGGAACACCAGUGGCGAAAGCGGCCACCUGGACUGCACCUGACGCUGACACGCGAAAGCUAGGGGAGCGAACGGG